rnacentral:tRNA from 1 species
GUCUCGGUGGCGCAAUGGUAGCGCGUUGGACUUCUAUCUCUAAGCUGUGUAAAAAUUUGCUUUAUCCGGUUAUCCAAAGGCUGCGGGUUCGAGCCCCGCCCGAGAUG